UACGAAGGGGGCUAGCGUUGCUCGGAAUCACUGGGCGUAAAGGGUGCGUAGGCGGGUCUUUAAGUCAGGGGUGAAAUCCUGGAGCUCAACUCCAGAACUGCCUUUGAUACUGAAGAUCUUGAGUUCGGGAGAGGUGAGUGGAACUGCGAGUGUAGAGGUGAAAUUCGUGGAUAUUCGCAAGAACACCAGUGGCGAAGGCGGCUCACUGGCCCGAUACUGACGCUGAGGCACGAAAGCGUGGGGAGCAAACAGG
rnacentral:rRNA from 1 species